GCCCGCCCGACCCCGAUGAGCCGGAGGCGCCGUGUUGCCUUGAAAUGCCCAGCCUGCUGGCCACAGCCACUCCUCCUGUGCCCUCAGGGCCCCCUUGCCUCUUGCAGUUUGGCCCAUGAAAGUAGGAGGAAGAUGUGCUUGGGCGUUGGUCCAUUGUGCAGCUCUGUGCUCCGAGGAAUAAAGCAGCAGUGGUGUUACUGUGGCACUGGCUCUUCCCUGGGAGUCGCUCUCUGUGGGCUUUGGAAACAUUGGCUUUUAAGGCUUGCCCAGCAAGUUGAUGACUCAGUUGGAAAACCCAGGCCUGCGAGUGGUGCUUUCUGCUGUCCCUCUGCGUGGCCAUGCAGCAGGACUGUGACCACGGAUGUGGCAUCCGGUGAGGUGGCCACCAGCCACGUGUGACUUGGAGUACCUGACAAGUAACUGGUGCACCUGAGGAAGCGCAGUGUGUGUGUGCGGCGCCUGGUCACGCUGCUGCAUGCAUGUGAGACAGCCAGGAUGUAAUGUGAUCGGUACCAAUUUAUUGCAGUAGCCGCCUGUGGCCGGCAGCUGCCGGAUUGGACAGCACUGACUGGCAAGAGCUUUGCCCACACUAAGUUUGAAAUUAUGUAAUUUAACUAAUUAGACUCAGUUUAAUAAUCUCUUGUUCAUGUACAAAUUGGAGAGGUAGCUUUUAACUUUUUUCCUACCGUGCCUGAGUAUUUUAUGGCUAUCAAAAGGCAGCACCGUUUCCUUCUUUAUGCUGGGAUUACAGGCCUGCGCCACCGUGCCUGUAGAUUAAUUUGUAAAUCUGGCCCCAGAUUAACUUGUAAAAAACCUCUUCUUGGUCGUAGUUCAUGUGUUCAGCAACCACACUGGCUGAGGCCCCGGCCGGCAGCGUGGGCCAGGCAGCUCUGUCGUCACGAGAAGCUGUCUGGACCCAGCAGUCAGGGGGCAUGCUUGUCUAUAAACUCUCUCCCGCUUACGUCCUCCUCUGGCUGCAGCCUUGUUUCUCUGCUUUUCCUCCAAGCAGAAUUGCGUGCUUCUUCCAUGGCCUUUGCUUGGCCUCUGCACCGCUCAGCCCUGGGACUGACCUAGGGAGGGCCACCCAGGCUUCUGUCUACAAAUCCAGCACUGGGGCUGGGCCCAGACCUUCAGCCUUUUUAAAGAGUAUUUUUUAUUUUGAUACAGG
ensembl:lncRNA